rnacentral:lncRNA from 1 species
GUUUUGUCUCAUGUAUUUGACACAUUUUAUAAAAAACACAUUCCUUAGAAGGCUUUGCUACAUCUUUUUCCUUUUCAAGAGUCAUUUUGUUAUGACUUCCAUGAAAGAGUUGAAAUCCCAGGCCUCCUCUUCCUCUACCAAUGAAUGGCGGGCUUAUGAUGUUUUCCUCAGUUUUCGAGGAGAGGAUACUCGAAAGGGUUUUACCGGAAACCUUUAUAAAGCUCUUUGUGGAAAAGGAAUCGACACUUUCAUAGAUGACCAAGAGCUUAGGAAAGGAGAAGAAAUCACACCAGCACUCAUGAUGGCAAUCCAAGAAUCAAGGAUUGCAAUUGUGAUUUUUUCAGAAAACUAUGCAUCAUCCACUUUCUGUUUGAAAGAACUUACAAAGAUCAUGGAGUGCAUAAAAC